GCAAGUUCGCACGGGCAGCAAUGUCAGUGGCGGACGGGUGAGUAACGCGUAGGAACGUGUCCAGAGGUGGGGGACAACCCCGGGAAACUGGGGCUAAUACCGCAUAGGGGCUGAGGCCCAAAGCCGAAAGGCGCCUUUGGAGCGGCCUGCGUCCGAUUAGGUAGUUGGUGGGGUAAAGGCCUACCAAGCCUGCGAUCGGUAGCUGGUCUGAGAGGACGACCAGCCACACUGGGACUGAGACACGGCCCAGACUCCUACGGGAGGCAGCAGUGGGGAAUAUUGGACAAUGGGCGAAAGCCUGAUCCAGCAAUGCCGCGUGGGUGAAGAAGGUCUUCGGAUCGUAAAGCCCUUUCGACGGGGACGAUGAUGACGGUACCCGUAGAAGAAGCCCCGGCUAACUUCGUGCCAGCAGCCGCGGUAAUACGAAGGGGGCUAGCGUUGCUCGGAAUUACUGGGCGUAAAGGGCGCGUAGGCGGCGGCCCAAGUCAGGCGUGAAAUUCCUGGGCUCAACCUGGGGACUGCGCUUGAUACUGGGUUGCUUGAGGAUGGAAGAGGCUCGUGGAAUUCCCAGUGUAGAGGUGAAAUUCGUAGAUAUUGGGAAGAACACCGGUGGCGAAGGCGGCGAGCUGGUCCAUUACUGACGCUGAGGCGCGACAGCGUGGGGAGCAAACAGGAUUAGAUAC
rnacentral:rRNA from 1 species